CCAAUAGCGUAUAUUAAAGUUGUUGCAGUUAAAAAGCUCGUAGUUGGAUUUCGGGGUUAGUAGGUUGGUCGUGCCACUGGUAUGUACUGGCUCUACUGAUCCCUCCUUCUUGUAGAACCGUAAUGCCAUUAACUUGGUGUUGCGGGGAAACAGGACUGUUACUUUGAAAAAAUUAGAGUGUUUAAAGCAGGCUAACGCUUGAAUACAUUAGCAUGGAAUAAUGAAAUAGGACGCUCGAUCCUAUUUUGUUGGUUUCUAGGAUUGACGUAAUGAUUAAUAGGGAUAGUUGGGGGCAUUAGUAUUCAAUUGUCAGAGGUGAAAUUCUUGGAUUUAUUGAAGACUAACUACUGCGAAAGCAUUUGCCAAGGAUGUUUUCAUUAAUCAAGAACGAAAGUUAGGGGAUCGAAGACGAUCAGAUACCGUCGUAGUCUUAACCAUAAACUAUGCCGACUAGGGAUCGGAUGAUGUUAAUUUUUUAAUGACUCAUUCGGCGCCUUACG
rnacentral:rRNA from 1 species